UACAUGCAGGCAAUACACUCAUACGCAUAAAAUAAAAAUAAUAAAAUAUUAAAAAAAGCUAUCUACUUCAUUUGAGAAUCAGGCUAAACACAAACACAUGAGGGCCAUUCUCUUUGGGAAAAAUUCGUAAGUUCCAGAAAGUGCUAAAAUUACUGUCCACUAUCACCUUGGACCCCGACAUCUUAGAAGUCACCUCUGUGUUUCCAGUUUGAUGGCUGUGUUUCUAUUUUACCAUCCUCUUGAAUCAGUUUCCCUGAUUUCUAUUAUAAUGAGGUUUUAAUUUAGUUGCUUCUUAUGCCUUCCUUAGUCUGUUCUGAGGACAAGACGUACACAAUUCCUCAACCCAAGCUCAGGUGUCUGGAUACCUUUUCUCUGCACUCCAGGUGUGUUUUAGAGUGAUCAGGAAGAAGGACUGCCAUGUUACCCACCUCUCCUCCAGGCCAGAUAAUCCCUGGCCAACACCCUGAGCCUGCUGGGUACAGUUUUGGAAAGUUGCAGAGUUUACCCUUCUGGAAUAUUCCUUAAGAUGCCAAGCCAUCUUAUGAAGUGGACUUCAUGCUCACAAGGCUUUGUAGCACUACACUGGGCUGAGCGAUCUGGUUUGGUCUUUCUUUUUCAAGGGCUGGGCUGUUGACCAUGAGACAGUUUUAACUUCCUGGAUACCUGUAAGACCAACUAGUUGAGCUGUUAGUUUCUUCUCAUGCAAGAUGGCCCGGUACCAGCUUCAGGGGAUUAUUGAAAGGACGAAGUGGACUACUGUGGAUGGUUCACUUCGAACAAAGCCCAGCAUGUAGGAAUCACUUGCUGGGAUCAUUAUUUUUCUGCUCUCAGUUUUCCAUGAUUUCGUCUCAGAACUUCUGCGACAGUUGACAUGGAGUCCCGUGGCCCUCCAGGCUGGCUAGCUGAUGAGCUGUGCUGUGCUUUAACCUACAGUUUGUGAUAUUUGGCCAUCAGGGCAAUUUCAAUUGAAAGAGCAAGGGGUCACUUGCUGAAUGAAUGAGUCCUGGAUUUGUGCUGUUUGUACCCCAGAGGUUUGAUAAUCUGUGGUAAAUUCAUUUGGCAGAUGUGCAUCUAUGGCAAUUUUUCAGUGAGCACUGUCCUAAAUUAAUUAAUCACUAGGCAAUUCAAUCUAAAUUGAACGCUGCUGCUGCACACAGAAAAUUUUUGUUUGCAGUCUUGAAUUGUCCCUAUUUAAAUUAAGUCAAUUAAAACUCUCUGUUCCUAACCACUUUUUUCAAUAGAAUGUACCUAAAUGGUCACAAUACUCUGCAGGGCAUCCUUCUGGUAUGAGUUUGUGUCUCUUUAAUGUCUGUAGUUAAUCAUUUUCAGACACCAUUUGAGCUGUUUUCUGCCAUUGCCUUGAAAACCAUUUGCUGCGCAUUUGCUGGGUGCUGAGGGAAGCUGAUGAGGUUGACAUAAAAUAUGGGAGCGAAGAUCAUGGGGUCACUGUUGAGGUUUAACAAACAAUGUUGCUCUGUGUUGUUGACCAACAGGUCACAGGGAAAGGAGCAGUGUCAGGGGGAAAUGAGUCUCAUGUCAGCUGUUUACAAGAUAGGAGUUCCAGGAAUGGGCUCUAACAAGCAGAUGGUGCAACUCUGAAGUGGACAGGUUGUUAACCCAAGCGCUCCUUUGCCUUGUGGAUCUCUGAGAAACAACCAACUUCAUUAGCCCCAUCCUCCCCAGAAUGUCCCAAAUGCACAUGCGAACACCGAAUGCCCCUCAGAUACACUGAGAGUCAGUGGCAAGAUUGGUGAAAUAAGUCCAAAUAGGAUGCUGACCUUCCUCACAACUUGAAGUUACCCUCUGCCUUCGCACAGGGCCGGUGAUUUGGUCAAGCACUUUGUGGUGUUUGGGGUUGAGGGAGCAGCCUUUUUGUCCUUCAGUGGUUCAAGUGAGGCUAUCUGAAACGGAAGGUCAUUGCAAGAGAUAAUGCAGCUUUGAGGUCUCAGAGGCAAUGCUAUGAGCUUCUCUGGAGGCCAAAGAGGCUGCAAAGUGCAGCCAGGUAGUAGCCCACCUCCCUGCUCCCUUCCAAGGUGUGGUCUGCCCUGGGUCUGCACUCUGUCUUUUCCCUCUCCUGGCUCCUUUCCCUCUUCUUAAACUCCCCUCAGGUGGCUCAUGCUGAACUUUUUCUGUAAUCACAGCGCAAGGACUUGCUCCUUUUCUCUCCAAGCCACCCUGGAGGAGCCAGUCAUGGCAAGGCUGCUGCCUUUGCCUUGCCGCCAAUGGAGCAGACGGCUCCGUGUUUUGCCAGGUAGAGCUGGAAGCCUAAGAAGUGUCAGGCAGAGUGGAAAGAGCGCUGGCCUGGGGAGUCAGCACCCAGCCUACAUUCCCUAACCCGGAAGCCUCCAGGCCACUUGAGCUACCCAGCCCAUCAGGUAGGUGGUUUCUGAGAGGUUAGGCUCUGAGUUCCCUGGAGAGUCUCUAUGUUGUGUUUUCAGAACUUGCAAGGACAAGGGGUAGGUCUCUUGCUGAUGCUUCACUAGGAAGAUCAAAGAGUUUCAGAUGUUCCACUAAGGUUAGUAUCCCAAGUGACAGUCUCUUCCAGUUCAUUUCUGGUCAUUAUAACCCAGGCUUAGGCCCAGCUUCUGAACCUCUCAUCUUUACCACAGAACAGCCAGCCUGACUCAUCCUCGGACUUUACAGAUUUCUUGCCAACCGAAAGCCUGUUUAGCAUUCCAUCCAUUAUCUUGUUGAGCAGAGCCAGCUCCGCGCAGGAGCUGCUCCAGUUGCUGAGACUCUGAAGGAUUGUGAUUUGGAAAGUCUAUUGAGUAUGGAAAUAAAACAACGUUCCAGUACUAGAUGCACAAGCAAUGCUUCGUUGUUGCUACUGUAAGCAUCCAUCCUUGGAGACUGUGGUUGGGAUGUCACUUGGCAUGUAGGAAGAAGGAACAGAUCAUGUCACUGCUGAUGCCUGCUGACAAUGGGAGUCAGGGUUUCCAGGCUUCUAUUUGUUGACUGGGGACCAGUGGGCUUCAGGAGCUCUCCAGGUUUUCAGCACCACUUUGGGACUACUGAGGCACCCAGGCCUAUGGACUGAGCAAUUAUCGGAGUCUCUGCCACUCAAAUGUGAGACAGUCACUGUGGGACUACUCCAACUCUGAGGUCCCUCCCAGCCUCAAGGAAGAACAACUACCAGGUCCUCAGUCUCUCGAGUGUGAUUCCACUGUUGUUACAGUUCCAAAUGACGCCUUCUAGUGCUGAGACCCUCUUUUGUUAAACUGGCCAAAAGGAAAGAAUGACCUGAAAUCAUGCAGUCUUGGGUGAAAGGCUGAAAAAUUUGGUCAGACCACAAUUCUACUGAUCCUGUCCUUAUGACUUCACUUGGAAAAAGCUACGGAAAGGAGCAACUCAAGCAUGGAUGUUUGCUAGUAUCAAUAAUAAGCGGCUGGGAAUGAACGCUGUCUUCCCAUCAGCAUUUAUUUAUCCUCAACUCUGCAAAGCACUUGCUGCUGAUAAAAAAUAAAAUCAUCGGAACCAAACCCUCUCAUGCAAGGAGUGAGUGAAUGCAAAGCACAGACAUCCCCCAAACUGGACAUUUUUAUUUUCAAGAUUUCAUCCAAAUGUUUAGGGUGACUGGACACAGGGUCCAAGAUUUCAAUCUGACUUAAAAUAGUUCAAAUAUUAUCCAGGGAGCUUUUUUUUGAAAACUUUUGGGAGAGAUCUUCAUUUUGACGUAGUCUGGCCCUUCCUGGACUGGCAUUUAUGCAGAAUAAAGUUGAAAGCACAGAGUUAUGACCUCAGACUGUUUAAUGUUAUGCAAAUUGUUGGAUAUCACAAUUGUCUGUGGAAAAAUUUCCAGAACAAUGACACGGUAUGGAAGUAAAAACAAAACUAGAAAAUAUUUGGCAAAGUGUGCAUAUUAUCACUUUGGAACUUACAAAUUCUCAAGGGGGUUGUUUCUUUGCUGGGGCUCUGGAAAAGAAAUCAUUUUAUAUCACUCUAUGUGAGGCUCAUGAAAGGACAGCUUGUUUUAGGAUCCCUGAUGUCACUAUAACGGCAAGCUAAAAUACAAUAGCAUUUAUGAGAAAUACCACAGAUAAAUAAAAUGAAUUUCAGACUGUGGGGUUUAAAUUUUAUACUUAUGUAGUCUCAAGGGAAGCGAGUUCUUAGAUCACUGGCUGGUUUGUGUGUGUUGUUUGAUUUGCUGAGAUUUAGAGUUUUUGAGUAAUGAACUAAAAGGUCACUAAUAAUUUACAGAAAGUAUAGCAGAGAUUCCGGCCUGAGUGCUUGGAGAUUACAGGGAGGGUCAGAGUCAUUUUUCAACAUGGAGAUAUUCUAGUGGUUCCCUCGAGCAAGUUAAGCUUAAAGUUUGAUCCUUAUGCCCAUGUCUUCUUCCUUAAAAAUAACGUAGCACAUCUAUACUGUAAAGCAAUCAGCAUGCACAUGAGUGAUUCCUGUUCAAGCAGACUUUCAAAGACAGCACACAAAGAGCUCUUGCAUGUUUCAGGAAUACAGUGACAGAAACUGGUACACACAAUAGCAUUUAAAGGAAAACUUGGUGGACUGUGAGGUCAGACUUCGGCCCUUCCUUGUUUGUCAAUGGACAAAAACAAACUGGCUCCAGCCUGAAUGUCAUGUGUCUUUCUAACCUACUGCACAGGAGGGACCAGAGACACAAUUAUCAAUACAUCACAAGAGCAGACAGAAAGCUGUUAGUAGUAGGUAGUGACAACCAGGAGUUAAGAUACCUUUUAAAAAAUGAUGCAAGUUCUGUUAGGAGUGCAUCUCAGAAAGCAAUUCCAAACUAUUAGAAGAACGGAACCCCUGUCCAAGUGCCCUUGUGAGACUUUUCAUACCUUAAUUUACCCUGUCGAAUAAAAAACCCCAAAUCAAAACAAAACCCAUAAAAUUCUAGGUCUUCUUAACUAUUUUAAAAGGUUCCAAGAAAAAUACUGAACUUUGUCCAAGAAGAGGCACCAGAUUUUUUGUGGAGAUUAACACAAGUUGUUUAUAUGGUGUGUGAUGGACUAUACAGUUUAUCCAUCUCUAUAACCCACUGGAUGCAAGAAUCCAAGCCACAAUAUACUUGACCGGCACCCAGGUUCAAGGUCACCUUCCAGACCUCAGACCAAAGGUGUGGUGUGGGCAUGCUUAGCAGGGUUGCCGCGUAGUUAGCAGUUUAAGUGCAGCAAGGAUGGACAGGUCUACUUAAACAGAAAAUGAGCUAAUUUCUAGGGACAAAGAUCUCCUUACAGGAAGAUUAAAAACUAAUGUCUUAAAAAAAAAUAGAUGAAGACACUACAUCUCAGGGAGAAAAAAAGGAAAACAAACUAAAAAGUUUAGAACUGUGUGAACGAGACCUAAGGACAUCAUUCUGUUAUAUGCUGCAUUGAUGUAGGCCUCACUAUGUCAGAGUUGAGGCCGGUCAUAAUGAUGGAAUAUCUAUUUUGAAGACAAUAGCUUUGAGGAAUUCUAUGAAUGUAUUUUAAGGAGCACAGAUUUGUGGGGGCCCCUUUUAAAUUUGGUUUUGCCUUAUAUUCAGUGUAAAGUAUUUGUACAAAAAUAUAAAAGGCAUGGCUUGAUGUUUAACAUCUGUUUUAUUUUUGUUGGCACCAGAAGAGGGUUAUGUUCUAUGUCAUGUCACUGUACAUACUGUAAACAAGACUGCAUUAAUAUGUUUUCUUAUGAUUUUUUUUGUUUCAAUGAAUCUAGAUUUUAAAAAAUACAUUCACAAACUACCUUAUGUUUAAACACAAUGAUUCCCUUUUAUUUCUUAACUGUUCCCCAAAAUCCCACAAUAAAAAAAAUCAUUUAAAGCUGUGUAUUUC